rnacentral:rRNA from 1 species
CUGAUCCAGCCAUGCCGCGUGAGUGAUGAAGGCCUUAGGGUCGUAAAGCUCUUUCGCCAGAGAUGAUAAUGACAGUAUCUGGUGAAGAAACCCCGGCUAACUCCGUGCCAGCAGCCGCGGUAAUACGGAGGGGGUUAGCGUUGUUCGGAAUUACUGGGCGUAAAGCGCGCGUAGGCGGAUUAGUAAGUUAGAGGUGAAAUCCCGGGGCUCAACCCCGGAACUGCCUUUAAUACUGCUAGUCUUGAGUUCGAGAGAGGUGAGUGGAAUUCCGAGUGUAGAGGUGAAAUUCGUAGAUAUUCGGAGGAACACCAGUGGCGAAGGCGGCUCACUGGCUCGAUACUGACGCUGAGGUGCGAAAGUGUGGGGAGCAAACAGGAUUAGAUACCCUGGUAGUCCACACCGUAAACGAUGAAUGCCAGUCGUCGGGUAGCAUGCUAUUCGGUGACACACCUAACGGAUUAAGCAUUCCGCUU